GGGUCCGAGCGUUAUCCGGAAUCAUUGGGGUUUAAAGGGUCCGUAGGUGGGCCAUUAAGUCAGGGGUGAAAGUCUGCAGCUCAACUGUAGAAUUGCCUUUGAUACUGGUGGUCUUGAGUCGUUGUGGGGUUGCCGGAACAUGUGGUGUAGCGGUGAAAUGCAUAGAUAUCACAUAGAACACCGAUCGCGAAGGCAGGUGACCAACAACGUACUGACACUGAUGGACGAAAGCGUGGGUAGCGAACGGGAUUAGAUACCCCGGUAGUCCACGCCGUAAACGAUGGAUACUAGCUGUCGGGACUUCGGUCUCGGCGGCCAAGCGAAAGUGAUAAGUAUCCCACCUGGGGAGUACGUUCGCAAGAAUGAAACUCAAAGGAAUUGACGGGGGCCCGCACAAGCGGUGGAGCAUGUGGUUUAAUUCGAUGAUACGCGAGGAACCUUACCAGGGCUUAAAUGCAGUCCGACAGCUUUAGAGAUAGAGUUUUCUUCGGACGGAUUGCAAGGUGCUGCAUGGUU
rnacentral:rRNA from 1 species